CCCUCUGCAGGGCAUCAUGGGAAGCUCCCGAAUGCGGAUGGAGAUGGGCGCGGGCGGACAUCCGGAGACAGGAGAGGGACACACGGACUGUGCUGAAAGGCUGAGGUGAGACCAGGAUCUGUAAAAUCUCUGACUCUCCCACUCUCCGUGUCUCCCCGAGACCGAAGCCGUGUUUGCUGUCAAUGGUUACGUAGUGGCAGAUGCUUAAGACUGAAAA